rnacentral:ncRNA from 1 species
CCUUAUUCAGAGCAGCUGAGGGAACAGGCCCUGUGAAGCUCGGCAACCUGCCUUCGGGCAAGGUGCUAAAUCCUGCGGUAUUGACCGAAAGAUAAGG